rnacentral:rRNA from 1 species
UACGAAGGGGGCUAGCGUUGUUCGGAAUCACUGGGCGUAAAGCGCACGCAGGCGGCUUGAUAAGUCAGGGGUGAAAUCCCGGAGCUCAACUUCGGAAUUGCCUUUGAUACUGUCUGUCUUGAGUCCGGGAGAGGUGAGUGGAAUUCCUAGUGUAGAGGUGAAAUUCGUAGAUAUUAGGAAGAACACCAGUGGCGAAGGCGGCUCACUGGCCCGGUACUGACGCUCAUGUGCGAAAGCGUGGGGAGCAAACAGG